AUAUAUAUAAGUGUGUGUACAUACAUAUAAACAGCAGUUUGAAAGUGAUAAUUGGCAAAUAUUUUCUAGUAUUAGAUACAAAGACUGAGCUUUAUUAUUGGUAUUUGCAAGUAAGAAAGAGUGUUAUCAAACUUCAGGGCUUACUGACCUUAUGGAAAACUUCACAGCUGCGUUCUCUGAAAAUACUCACUAUUCAAUAGUAGUCUGAUUUCUGUGAUAACAUGCUUUUGUACUCAGAUUGCUUGCCUGACAGGUAGACUGUAUUGUAUUUGAACUCAUGACUGCAUUCUCAGUUUGGAUGGAGGUCCUUUUAAUCUGGAAUUGAAUCCCGUAGGAGUCCUGAACUUGGAGGUUCCUGUAACUGCACCAAUCUCCCACAAUUUCUGUACCUGUUGCUAAUCAGUCUGCAGCUUUAAUCAUCUCAAUUCAUAUAUAAUUAAUUAAAUAGGUUACUUAAUUGAUAAUUUUUAUGUGGACAGGUAAUCUCACCUCAGCGCAUUCCUGCCACUGUGACUCCUACCUUAUUGAUGUCCCCAAUGGUGUUCACUCAGCCCACACCCGCUGCACCAAAAGCCAAUGAAAGUGGGCUGUUAGCAGCAUCAAACCAAGAACCUGCUGCCAGCUCUGCUAACCUUCUCCUACCACUGCAAACCCCAGAGCCACCUGUGAUCACCAGCAGCUCAGUGACAAAGAUGCAGCUGCAGGAAACACUUCUACACCUGAUCCAGAACGACGACAACUUCUUAAACAUUAUUUAUGAAGCAUAUCUCUUCAGUGUGAGAAAGGCAGCGAUGAAGAAAUCCA